UACAGAGGUCUCAAGCGUUGUUCGGAUUCAUUGGGCGUAAAGGGUGCGUAGGUGGCGCUGUAAGUCGGGUGUGAAAUUUCGGAGCUUAACUCCGAAACUGCAUUCGAUACUGCGGUGCUUGAGGACUGGAGAGGAGACUGGAAUUCAUGGUGUAGCAGUGAAAUGCGUAGAGAUCAUGAGGAAGACCAGUGGCGAAGGCGGGUCUCUGGACAGUUCCUGACACUGAGGCACGAAGGCCAGGGGAGCAAACGGGAUUAGAACCG
rnacentral:rRNA from 1 species